AAGCAGCAAGCAGCUAGGAGGGCUUUUCAAUUUUUUUUCUACACCAAAUUUCCAAAAUCUUCUCUCCCCUAUCACUAGACCCAAAAUCUCCCCCAAAUCAAUCAAUCUCUGAGGUGGAAACAAAAACAAAGCACAGCGAGAAAUGGCGAUUAAUGACAAAAAUCCCCUCUAAAUCGUUAAAUUGUUGUAGAACCAACAGUUGAUGUACACAAGGUAUUCCACUUUCUCUAUAUAUUGAAAUUUUAAUGUGUAUAUACCGAAUACAUGUCUUAAUUUCAUUGUAAUUGGGUGUUAGUGGUUUGAUUUACUGAAUUUCGUACUCGUGGUUUCUCCCUCUUCUAUAAUCAUGGUGUCCCUCUGCUACAACUUCUUCCCAUGAGAUUCUCGAUUCUUAUCUAUUUGUAAGUAGUCUAAAUCUAUUCUCAAAUUUGGAUUCUUAGGUUGUUUAACAUACUUUUUCGUUAUGAAUAUUUUUUGUAUUAGAAGUGCUUAGCUAGAAUUCGUUUGAAUUAUAUCUCAAGAUUGAUGGUUUUAAUGGACUUUUGUGGUAGUAGUUUUAUGCAAUGUCAGUCGUUCUAAGCAAUUUCUGUUUAAUUGAUUGGGGGUUCAUGUAUACAUAACCCAUUAGGAUGGAUAUAAACUGUUAUGCAUUCAAGGUGUUUGAGGAAAUGUCACUAACUGAAAGACAAAAAAUUAUUCGAGUUGAGCCUUAUUUAUGUGGAGGUUAGUCAAAAUUAUCAGGUUUAAAAUCUUCAGAACCUAUUAGUUUGACCUUUUACUGAACUAUCAGGCAUUCAUUAUUAUAUAAUUUGUUGGCAUUUAAAGCUUCCUGUCUGCGGUAAUAUUUUCCUUUACACACGGUGCUUAUUAAAUUGAGAAUUUUUAAUAUGCACUAUCAUGUGAACUUGAUAUGGUAGUAUUUUCAGUUUAAUGAAUUUACUAUUUUGCUUAUAGAACAAUAUAUUAUCAUUAACAUAUAUAUAUAUAUAUAUAUAUAUAUAUAUAUAUAUAAUAACAUAUUUAUCUAUAUGAAAUGUUUGAGGUUUGUUAACGAACUUUCUCGGUUUAUAUCCGUGGACCUCUUUUAUCUUCAUGAACACAGUACAAGUAAAAAUGAAUUGUGAAACUAGCUUAAGGGAACCCAACUAGUUCAAUUUGUGUGAUUGCAGUUGCAGGAAAGGUCACUGUUGCCUAAUGAGACAUGGCAUCUGUUGCAUAUUGCUCAAGGAAUGACUUGUACUAUGAUAAGUAAAUCCUCUCCUCUAUAAUGUUUUUCUGAUUUAUUUUUCUUUUGUUUUAUUUAAUGCAUCGCACAUUAAUAGGUAUUAUGUUUAACAGAAUUUUUUGGCUCACAAGUGAAGAAUUAUUUGUCAAAUCUUAUUCCUUCCAUCAUCCACAAGUAGUUGCAAUUAUAAGUUAACUUUGUCUGGGAUCUCUGUGGAAUCUUAUUGCUCUAUAUUUGGAAUUUUAACUCGGUGAUUUUAACUUUUUCCUGAGUUGGUAUCUAAAAGUAUUAUACAUUAAAUACUUACUAGAAUUGUGAUCAUUCUACUUUGACAUUCAAGUACAAGAUGAGGAAAGAAGUUCAAACAGUUUAGCUAUGACGCAGGCUCCUUCUUCCAGCAUCACUUAUUGUAAUCAAUGAUAUUGUUGCUUAUUUCUUUGGACUUAGUUAACAGAUGAAUGUAUUCAACAUUCAAUAAAUAUAUCAACGACAAAGUUCAAUGUCAUCAAGAAACUAAUAAGAUGCUCACCACAAACGCGGAGAUUAUACAGAUGCUCCAAUGAAGCAUUCCCAUGUUUUCUUUGGAGAUAACUUGAUUAAAGGAAUUUUUAUAGGCAAACAUAUUUCCUUAGUUUCCCUCUGACCAAUCCUAGUCCAGACUGCUGCAUGACUAAUCCAUGUUUUGUAUUAUCUUUCCUCAAUGGAUUCUAUUAUUCAGGUGCCAUACAUUGACUAGUCCAGACAUGACAUCUUUUGUUCUUUAACACAUUUCAUGCAAAAUUACUAUUUUUUCUUUGUAUAGAUAUACUUUUAUAAGUGCACAUGCCAAUGAGAUUAUGGCUUCAUGCUCUGUUCAAAUCUUCAAAAAAAUUAGGUAAGAAAAAAAUUGUGGUCUAUCUUUAAUACACUCAAUUGUCUUAUGCUUAAUUGUUUAGAUAGUUUUUCCUCUUUAGUCCCUCACACUGUAGAAUAAAAUUUAAGAUCUCCACAGGUGGAUUGAUAGUCGGGCUUGGCCAGAUCAGAUGGUGUAACAGAAUGAGCUGUCACUUCUGCUCUUGCUGCUAAAAGUAGUACUGCAAUCAAGGUGAGUAAUUGAAAAGGCAUCUCAUGAAAGCCCAUAAUUUUUUUCUUUUCUAUUAAAACUUUUUGUGUGUGUGUCAAAUACCCUGAACUGGUACUCAAUAGGAGUUGGUUUCAUUUGAGAAAUGUUUAAGUAACAAAUUGCAGAAGGAAUAUUAAGUUUCUUUAUUACUGUUAUAAAUAAUAAUGAUAAAAACCAUAGCGUUAUUGUUCUCCAUUGUUGUCUUUUUUUUGUUAAACUGAAUCACAUUUCCUUUCUUUACUUUUCAACUAUUCACGAUCUUGUGGAGGCGGCCAAACUUUUGAAGAUUCAAAGGGAAAUGGAUGAAAUAAAAAUUAUACUUGUAAGCCUUAAUAUCGAACUACAUUUGUUGCAUGUUCCUUUAGGUUUCAAGUUCGUCGUAUGCUCAUUUGUUCUUGUUGGGACAUUACUGCUAAUCUGCUACAUUUUAAAACUAGUUGAGUCUAAAAGGUUUCAUUUUUGUAUACUAUCAUUCAUUAUUGCUUUUGAAUGAUAGUUGUAUUACUUAUAACUAAUGCACGUGUAUAUUAAUGUUUACUGGCAUGAGGCCUUGAAUUUGUAUACAGGAGAUUGAAGUUAAACUUUAAUUAUGACCUUGAUUUCACAUAUAAGCAUAAUUAUGUCCGUUCAGGUCCUUGUUCAUUCAUGUUGAAAGAUUAACAAUGUACUUAUAUUUGAGCAUCAAGUAGAACAACAGUGUACUUAUAUUUGAUAAAGCUCAUAACUUGGUUAGUAAAAAUGAUGUAAAUUUGAGGUUUAGUUGGUAUCUUGUUCUAAUUUGAGGUUUAGUCGACCUAUUUGCUUCAUUUUCCUGACUUUGCUAUUAUUUUUAAAUAUGUGCAGGAAGACUGCUUCUAUGACAUGCCUUACAAUACUGGGUAUCAAAUUUUCGUGCUACGUUUACGGAAGACAAGGGAUGAAAUUAUGAACUGUACUCUCUCUAUAUAUGUAGAUAUAUACUUUGAUUGAAGAACUGUGGUAGCCUUAGAUGGUUAAUUGUAAAGAUAAUAAAUGAUUAUGUAGUGGAUGAUUUUAUUAUGUUAAUAAUAUUUUAGUUUUUUGUA
rnacentral:lncRNA from 1 species